CCCCCAGUCCGGGUUUCCCCCGCUGCCGGGGGAGAUUCCCCCCAAAAACCCCCAAAAGGCUCCAAAUUGUGCCCAAAUUCCGCUUUAUUGGGACUUUCCGCAAUAAAUUAUCCCGGCGGUCAAUAAAUUACCGGCCCCGCCCCGGGACCGGCGGCUUCCGGGCCGGGGGGACGCCAUAAAUACACAAAACUUUAUAAAAACCGCUACAAAAGUAUCAAAAAUAUCUCUGAAAUCCAUAAAUAAAACAAUAAAUAAAAGCGGCUUCUCCCAGCCCGUCCUGGCCGAGCUCGGCUCAUUCCCCGGGUCCCGGUUCUGGUCCCGGUUCUGGUCUGGACCGGUCCCGGUUCUGGUCUGGACCGGUCCCGGUUCCGUUCCCGGUUCCAUUCCCGGUUCCGGUCCCGGUUCUGGUCCCGGUUCCAUUCCCGGUUCUGGUCCCGGUUCUGGUCCCGGUUCCAUUCCCGGUUCUGGUCCCGGUUCUGGUCCCGGUUCUGGUCCCGGUUCUGGUCUGGAGUGGUCCCGGUUCUGGUCCCGGUUCUGGUCUGGAGUGGUCCCGGUUCUGGUCCCGGUUCUGUUCCCGGUUCUGGUCCCGGUUCUGGUCCCGGUUCCAUUCCCGGUUCUGGUCCCGGUUCCGGUCCCGGUUCUGGUCCCGGUUCUGUUCCCAGUUCUGGUCCCGGUUCCAUUCCAGACCGGUCCCGGUUCCAUUCCCGGUUCCAUACCCGGUUCUGUUCCAGACCAGUCCCGGUUCCGGUCCCGGUUCUGGUCCCGGUUCUGGUCCCGGUUCCAUUCCAGACCGGUCCCGGUUCUGGUCCCGGUUCCGUUCCCGGUUCCAUUCCAGACCGGUCCCGGUUCCGUCCGUCCCUUGUCAGUCACUCUGAUCCCGAAUUAUCCCAAAUCCACCCAUCCCUAAUUAAAUUAUCCCAAACUAUCCCAAAUUAUCCCAAUUCCAUCCAUCCCUAAUCAAUCCAAAUGAUCCCGAAUUAUCCCAAAUCCACCCAUCCCUAAUUAAAUUAUCCCAAACUAU
rnacentral:lncRNA from 1 species